UACCCAGUCUAGAAAGCUGGGGGAAUAAGGAGAGGGCAAGUCUGGUGUCAGCCGCCGCGGUAAUACCAGCUCUCCGAGUGGUGUGGAUGUUUAUUGGGCCUAAAGCAUCCGUAGCUGGCUAAGUUAGUCCCCUGUUUAAUCCAACGAAUUAAUCGUUGGAUCGCGGGGGAUACUGCUUGGCUAGGGGACGAGAGAGGCAGACGGUAUUUCCGGGGUAGGGGUGAAAUCCUAUAAUCCCGGGAAGACCACCAGUGGCGAAGGCUGUCUGCUAGAACGCGCCCGACGGUGAGGGAUGAAAGCUGGGGGAGCGAACCGGAUUAGAUACCCGGGUAGUCCCAGCUGUAAACGAUGCAGGCUAGGUGUUUGGACGGCCACGUGCCGUUCUAGUGCCGCAGGGAAGCUGUUAAGCCUGCCGCCUGGGGAGUACGAUCGCAAGAUUGAAACUUAAAGGAAUUGGCGGGGGAGCACCACAAGGGGUGAAGCUUGCGGUUUAAUUGGAUUCAACGCCGGG
rnacentral:rRNA from 1 species